rnacentral:rRNA from 1 species
GUGUGCGUACGUAUUCGCUCGCAACGGGUACAGAGUUUGAUCCUGGCUCAGAUUGAACGCUGGCGGCAUGCUUACACAUGCAAGUCGAACGGCAGCACGGGUGCUUGCACCUGGUGGCGAGUGGCGAACGGGUGAGUAAUACAUCGGAACAUGUCCUGUAGUGGGGGAUAGCCCGGCGAAAGCCGGAUUAAUACCGCAUACGAUCCACGGAUGAAAGCGGGGGACCUUCGGGCCUCGCGCUAUAGGGUUGGCCGAUGGCUGAUUAGCUAGUUGGUGGGGUAAAGGCCUACCAAGGCGACGAUCAGUAGCUGGUCUGAGAGGACGACCAGCCACACUGGGACUGAGACACGGCCCAGACUCCUACGGGAGGCAGCAGUGGGGAAUUUUGGACAAUGGGCGAAAGCCUGAUCCAGCAAUGCCGCGUGUGUGAAGAAGGCCUUCGGGUUGUAAAGCACUUUUGUCCGGAAAGAAAUCCUUGGCUCUAAUACAGAAAAAGAGAUGACGGUACCGGAAGAAUAAGCACCGGCUAACUACGUGCCAGCAGCCGCGGUAAUACGUAGGGUGCAAGCGUUAAUCGGAAUUACUGGGCGUAAAGCGUGCGCAGGCGGUUUGCUAAGACCGAUGUGAAAUCCCCGGGCUCAACCUGGGAACUGCAUUGGUGACUGGCAGGCUAGAGUAUGGCAGAGGGGGGUAGAAUUCCACGUGUAGCAGUGAAAUGCGUAGAGAUGUGGAGGAAUACCGAUGGCGAAGGCAGCCCCCUGGGCCAAUACUGACGCUCAUGCACGAAAGCGUGGGGAGCAGAAGGAUUAGAUACCCUGGUAGUCCACGCCCUAAUAGUAAUUCAUAGUUGUUGGGGAUUCAUUUCCUUAGUAACGUAGCUAACGCGUGAAGUGACCGCCUGGGAGACGCACUUGU